CAGUCGCCGCGGUAAUACGAAGGGUGCAAGCGUUACUCGGAAUUACUGGGCGUAAAGCGUGCGUAGGUGGUGGUUUAAGUCCGUUGUGAAAGCCCUGGGCUCAACCUGGGAAUUGCAGUGGAUACUGGGUCACUAGAGUGUGGUAGAGGAUAGUGGAAUUUCCGGUGUAGCAGUGAAAUGCGUAGAGAUCGGAAGGAACAUCUGUGGCGAAGGCGACUAUCUGGGCCAACACUGACACUGAGGCACGAGAGCGUGGGGAGCAAACAGGAUUAGAUACCCCUGUAGUCCCUGUCUCUUAUAC
rnacentral:rRNA from 1 species